rnacentral:rRNA from 1 species
UACGUAGGGGGCUAGCGUUGUCCGGAAUCAUUGGGCGUAAAGAGCGUGUAGGCGGUCCGGUAAGUCCGCUGUGAAAGUCGGGGGCUCAACCCUCGAAUGCCGGUGGAUACUGUCGGGCUAGAGUGCGGAAGAGGCGAGUGGAAUUCCUGGUGUAGCGGUGAAAUGCGCAGAUAUCAGGAGGAACACCAAUUGCGAAGGCAGCUCGCUGGGACGUAACUGACGCUGAGACGCGAAAGCCAGGGGAGCAAACGGG